rnacentral:rRNA from 1 species
CCUACGGGUGGCAGCAGUGGGGAAUAUUCCGCAAUGGGGGAAACCCUGAUGGAGCAACGCCGCGUGAGUGAAGAAGGACUUCGGUAUGUAAAGCUCUGUCAGCAGGGAAGAAAAUGACGGUACCUGAGUAAGAAGCCCCGGCUAACUACUUGCCAGCAGCCGCGGUAAUACGUAGGGGGCAAGCGUUAUCCGGAUUUAAUGGGUGUAAAGUGAGCGUAGACGGCUGUGCAAGUCUGGAGUGAAAGGCGGGGGCUCAACCCCCGGACGGCACUGGAAACUGUACGGCUGGAGUGCAGGAGAGGGAAGUGGAAUUCCAAGUGUAGCGGUGAAAUGCGUAGAGAUUAGGAGGAACACCAGUGGCGAAGGCGGCUUACUGGACUGUAACUGACGUUGAGGCGCGAAAGCGUGGGGAGCAAACAGGAUUAGAUACCCGAGUAGUC